GGCCACUUCGAAUGCUGCGCUGGUGCAGAAGAAGUCGACGAUAAUGGCGUUGAGUGUGUAGUUAUUGGAGAUGGUGAGAAGGGUGCGACGGACAUCGGGGUUUCUGAGGCGGAUGACGUCGAAGAAAAGCGGAUCUAAGUCGGUUGAGGUUGGAAGGAGGUCGACGGUGGGGAGGUAGUGGAAGGUGAUGGAAGGAGGAACGGGGGAGGGGACGGUGGAGGAAGGUUGUGAAGGAAGGGUGGCGAUGAGGAUGUGGAUAGAAAGGGAAGGGUGUUGAGUGAGGAGGAGCUUGGCGAACUCUACCAUGGGUGCCAGGUGAGUAAGCAUAGAUGCUGGGUAAAUAACUAUGGCUUCCUCCAUUGGUGAU
rnacentral:lncRNA from 1 species